rnacentral:rRNA from 1 species
GCGCGAAAACUUUACAAUGCCGGCAACGGCGAUAAGGGGACCUCGAGUGCCAGGUUACAAAUCUGGCUGUCGUGAUGCCUAAAAAGCAUUGCAUAGCAAGGGCCGGGCAAGACCGGUGCCAGCC